rnacentral:rRNA from 1 species
UACGUAGGGGGCUAGCGUUGUCCGGAUUUAUUGGGCGUAAAGAGCGUGUAGGCGGCCUGGUAGGUCUGCUGUGAAAACUCGAGGCUCAACCUCGAGAUGUCGGCGGAAACCAUCUGGCUAGAGUCCGGAAGAGGAGAGUGGAAUUCCUGGUGUAGCGGUGAAAUGCGCAGAUAUCAGGAAGAACACCUAUGGCGAAGGCAGCUCUCUGGGGACGGUACUGACGCUGAGACGCGAAAGCGUGGGGAGCGAACAGG